rnacentral:rRNA from 1 species
AGCAGCCGCGGUAAUUCCAGCUCCAAUAGCGUAUAUUAAAGUUGUUGCAGUUAAAAAGCUCGUAGUUGAAUUUCGAGACCGGUUUAUUGGUCGUGCUUUUGUACGUACUGGUAUUAUUGGUUUCUCCUUUCUGACGAAUCUUAAUGCCAUUAAUUUGGUGUUUUGGGGAAUCAGGACUGUUACUUUGAAAAAAUUAGAGUGUUUAAAGCAGGCUCACGCUUGAAUACAUUAGUAUGGAAUAACGGAAUAGGACGUUUGAUUCUAUUUUGUUGGUUUCUAGGAUCGACGUAAUGAUUAAUAGGGAUAGUUGGGGGCAUUAGUAUUCAAUUGUCAGAGGUGAAAUUCUUGGAUUUAUUGAAGACUAACUACUGCGAAAGCAUUUGCCAAGGAUGUUUUCAUUAAUCAAGAACGAAAGUUAGGGGAUCGAAGACGAUCAGAUACCGUCGUAGU